rnacentral:rRNA from 1 species
GACGAACGCUGGCGGCGUGCCUAACACAUGCAAGUCGAACGGGGUAAUCCUUCGGGGUUACUUAGUGGCGAACGGGUGAGUAACGCGUGAAGAACCUGCCUUUCAGUGGGGGACAACAGUUGGAAACGACUGCUAAUACCGCAUAAUGUUAUUUGAGGGCAUCCUCGGAUAACCAAAGCUUUAUGUGCUGAAAGAUGGCUUCGCGUCUGAUUAGCUAGUUGGUGAGGUAACGGCUCACCAAGGCGACGAUCAGUAGCCGGACUGAGAGGUUGAACGGCCACAUUGGGACUGAGACACGGCCCAGACUCCUACGGGAGGCAGCAGUGAGGAAUAUUGGGCAAUGGGCGCAAGCCUGACCCAGCAAUGCCGCGUGAAGGAAGACGGUUUUCGGAUUGUAAACUUCUUUUAAGAGGGACGAUAAUGACGGUACCUCUUGAAUAAGCCACGGCUAACUACGUG